AGAGAGGUGAGUCAUCCAUUCUUCAUGGCACAGCUGUCGCCUUCCUGAAACUCACAUUAGACACGCGCUCAUAGAAUCAAAUGUACCACAUGCAGCCAUUACAGACGGGCACACCAACCCCAGACUGCUGUUGCCAGAAAACAAAAGAGAGCAAGAGAGAAGACAGUGGGUGAAGUCCUGGUUCCAGACUCCCCUUUUUGCCGGGAUAUGAUGGAUCUGUCAGCUGGUGCCUAGAGUCCUAGAGAGCUAGAGAUGGAGGGAAAUUCAGAUCAUCUAAACCCUUCAGCCCUUCACUGGACAGAAGAGGAAACUGAGGCUCCAUCUGCAUGACGUUCCCAGAGUCACGGCACAAAUUCAUGGAAGAAGCAGCAGGAAACUCAGUUCUCCAGUCUGGGUCCAAUGUGUGUUUUAGAAAUAUCUCCACAGGGUUAAUGACUCAAUUUUUCAUGCAUGAUUGCUAGUAAUGACAAUCAUGUUAUGUUUGUUUCUGUAGCUUUGGAAAUCACUCCUUCCACUUGAGUUUCAGGUCCCAACUGUCCACACCUGCAGGAGUGAGGUUUUGCUGAGACUGAUAAGGCACUCACAUUUUGUGGGAGUUGAAUUGUCUCUGUAGCCUAGAAUCUAGAUUUUUUUCCCUCCUCUGCUCUCAGUGAACGGAGAAUUCCAUCUCGGUACAAUCUGUGAACCAUUCUGCAGUAAGAUUGUCAUCGUCUCAUUCAUACUACCUGGUCGGUAACACAAAGGGCUGUAAUUGAUGUGGUUCAGAGACUCACAUCCAAGCAAUAAAAAUGAAUCCCUUAUGGUGGUCUGCAGCAACGCAAA
rnacentral:lncRNA from 1 species